rnacentral:rRNA from 1 species
UACGGGGGGGGCAAGCGUUGUUCGGAAUUACUGGGCGUAAAGGGCUCGUAGGCGGCCAACUAAGUCGGAUGUGAAAUCCCCAGGCUCAACCUGGGAACUGCGUCCGAUACUGGAUGGCUUGAAUUCGGGAGAGGGAUGCAGAAUUCCAGGUGUAGCGGUGAAAUGCGUAGAUAUCUGGAGGAAUACCGGUGGCGAAGGCGGCAUCCUGGACCGACAUUGACGCUGAUGAGCGAAAGCCAGGGGAGCAAACGGG